GACGAACGCUGGCGGCGUGCUUAACACAUGCAAGUCGAACGGAAAGGCCCUGCUUUUGUGGGGUGCUCGAGUGGCGAACGGGUGAGUAACACGUGAGUAACCUGCCCUUGACUUUGGGAUAACUUCAGGAAACUGGGGCUAAUACCGGAUAGGAGCUCCUGCUGCAUGGUGGGGGUUGGAAAGUUUCGGCGGUUGGGGAUGGGCUCGCGGCUUAUCAGCUUGUUGGUGGGGUAGUGGCUUACCAAGGCUUUGACGGGUAGCCGGCCUGAGAGGGUGACCGGCCACAUUGGGACUGAGAUACGGCCCAGACUCCUAUGGGAGGCAGCAGUGGGGAAUAUUGCACAAUGGGCGGAAGCCUGAUGCAGCAACGCCGCGUGCGGGAUGACGGCCUUCGGGUUGUAAACCGCUUUCGCCUGUGACGAAGCGUGAGUGACGGUAAUGGGUAAAGAAGCACCGGCUAACUACGUG
rnacentral:rRNA from 1 species